CUGUAUCGAUCGCAUUUAUUAUGUCAAACCAACCGCAUGAGAGAUUGUGCGUGGUGAAUCUAGAUAACUGUGCUGAUCGCAUGGCCUUGAGCCGGCGACGUUUCGAUUGAGUUUCUGCCCUAUCACCUUGAUGCUAGUGUAUUGUACUAGCAUGGGAGUAACGGGUAACGGAGGAUCAGGGUUCGAUCCCGGAGAGGGAGCCUGAGAAACGGCUACCACAUCCAAGGAAGGCAGCAGGCGCGCAAAUUACCCAAUCCAGACAAUGGGAGGUGGUGACGAAGAGUACCGGAUGACUGAAUAAUUUCAGUCAGUCUGGAAUGAAUACAAUUUAAGCAAUUGAGUUGAGAAACAACUGGAGGGCAAGUCUGGUGCCAGCAGCCGCGGUAAUUCCAGCUCCAGUAGCGUGUCUCAAAGUUGCUGCGCUUAAAACGCUCGUAGUUGGAUGAGAAACUAUACAUUGGAAAGUUGCUUGUUGGGUACUUGGUUAUAUGUUGCUACUUUGAUGCUUCUGGCGUCGGGUAGCGACUGUAGCCAACCAUCAGUAACAUACCACCGGUGUGUAGUAAUUGCGUGUGAGGAUGAUCAUUGACCUUCAGUGUGUUGAAGAUCGUGUCUCACGGGAUGUGCCUUGAGUAAAUCAGAGUGCUCAAAGCAGGCUAUUGCCUGAAUGUUUUAGCAUGGAACGAACAAUAAUGUAGACGCGUAU
rnacentral:rRNA from 1 species